UCCCUUGUGGCUCAGCUGGUAAAGAAUCUGCCUGCAAUGCAGGAGGCCUGGGUUCAAUCCCUGGAUUGGGAA
rnacentral:tRNA from 1 species